rnacentral:lncRNA from 1 species
UCCCAUCAAUUCAUAGUCAUUUAGUUUUAGAGGCUUAUUAGACAUAAGAGUCCAUUAUUUAGUAUUCUGACAUUGCAUUUAGUUAUCCAGUUUAUCAGUAUUUUAUUAGUUUCAAAUAGUUAUUUCUAUAGACUCAUAUAUCAGUUUCGAAUUUAGUUAUUAAAACCUUAUGGCAUAUCAGUAUUCUUCCACAUUUAUGAUCAUAUUUUCCAGUGCUCACAGCUGGUAG